rnacentral:rRNA from 1 species
UGGGGGAUAUUGCACAAUGGGCGAAAGCCUGAUGCAGCGACGCCGCGUGGGGGAUGAAGGCCUUCGGGUUGUAAACUUCUUUUGCUCUGAACAAGGCAUGCCUUUGGGGUGUGUUGAGUGUAGGGGUUGAUUAGCGCCGGCUAACUACGUGCCAGCAGCCGCGGUAAUACGUAGGGCGCGAGCGUUGUCCGGAAUUAUUGGGCGUAAAGGGCUUGUAGGUGGCUGGUUGCGUCUGUCGUGAAAGCUCAUGGCUUAACUGUGGGUUUGCGGUGGGUACGGGCUGGCUUGAGUGCAGUAGGGGAGGCUGGAAUUCCUGGUGUAGCGGUGGAAUGCGCAGAUAUCAGGAGGAAUGCCGGUGGCGAAGGCGGGUCUCUGGGCUGUUACUGACGCUGAGGAGCGAAAGCGUGGGGAGCGAACAGG